ensembl:lncRNA
CUGGGAUCUGAGAGGUUCCUCAGGGGCGUCAGGAGAACCAGCUGAUUUCAGGAAUCUGCCCUGGCCAACAGGAAGUACAUUCCAGUGCAUCCUGUUUGCGGCCGUCUCUGUCUUCCUGCCCGGAGCAGAACCGUGUCUGUGAUAACCUACAAUAAUAUAUCAGCACCGACACUUAAUCAACACUGAACACACUGACCUCAGAUCAGACCACAGACACUUCAUCAUGACCUGCUCUGUGUGUGUGUGUGUGUGUGUGUGUGUGUGUGUGUGGUGCCCUGUGAUGAACUGAUGUCCCACUCGAUGUUCCUGGGACAGACUCCGGACUCACCCUGGCCCGUGUAAGGUGUUUACUGAAGGUGAAUGAAGAACUCUACAACAGAAGAACCCUUCACUAUACAAAGAACCCACUGAAGAACCUCAGCGUGCUGCAGAUCCUCUCACAACGCCUGAUUUACUCGUGUCAGGACAAGGACAUCUGCCCAUGAACUAAGCGGAUGACGUCAGUGAUGAUGCGACUGCCCAUCCUCCUCC